rnacentral:rRNA from 1 species
CAGCAGUGGGGAAUCUUGCGCAAUGGGCGAAAGCCUGACGCAGCCAUGCCGCGUGGAUGAUGAAGGUCUUAGGAUUGUAAAAUCCUUUCACCGGGGACGAUAAUGACGGUACCCGGAGAAGAAGCCCCGGCUAACUUCGUGCCAGCAGCCGCGGUAAUACGAAGGGGGCUAGCGUUGCUCGGAAUUACUGGGCGUAAAGGGCGCGUAGGCGGACAGUUAAGUUGGGGGUGAAAGCCCGGGGCUCAACCUCGGAAAUGCCUUCAAUACUGGCUGUCUUGAGUACGGGAGAGGUGAGUGGAACUCCGAGUGUAGAGGUGAAAUUCGUAGAUAUUCGGAAGAACACCAGUGGCGAAGGCGACUCACUGGCCCGUUACUGACGCUGAGGCGCGAAAGCGUGGGGAGCAAACAGGAUUAGA